rnacentral:rRNA from 1 species
GACGAACGCUGGCGGCGUGCUUAACACAUGCAAGUCGAACGCAGUGGCGAACGGGUGAGUAACGCGUAAUCAACCUGCCCUUCAGCGGGGGAUAACAGGUGGAAACGACUGCUAAUACCGCAUACUGAAGGAGGGGCUUGCGUCUGUUUAGCUAGUUGGAGGGGUACCGGCCCACCAAGGCGAUGAUCAGUAGGCGGUCUGAGAGGAUGAACGGCCACAUUGGGACUGAGACACGGCCCAGACUCCUACGGGAGGCAGCAGGGGGGAAUCUGCCGCAAUGGACGAAAGUCUGACGGAGCAACGCCGCGUGAGUGAUGACGGCCUUCGGGUUGUAAAGCUCUGUUAAUCGGGACGCGGUACCGGAAUAGAAAGCCACGGCUAACUACGUGCCAGCCGCCGCGGUAAUAC